AGCGGCGGAUGGGUGAGUAACACGUGGGGAACCUGCCCCUAAGUCUGGGAUACCAUUUGGAAACAGGUGCUAAUACCGGAUAAUAAAGCAGAUCGCAUGAUCAGCUUUUGAAAGGCGGCGUAAGCUGUCGCUAAGGGAUGGCCCCGCGGUGCAUUAGCUAGUUGGUAAGGUAACGGCUUACCAAGGCGACGAUGCAUAGCCGAGUUGAGAGACUGAUCGGCCACAUUGGGACUGAGACACGGCCCAAACUCCUACGGGAGGCAGCAGUAGGGAAUCUUCCACAAUGGACGCAAGUCUGAUGGAGCAACGCCGCGUGAGUGAAGAAGGUUUUCGGAUCGUAAAGCUCUGUUGUUGGUGAAGAAGGAUAGAGGUAGUAACUGGCCUUUAUUUGACGGUAAUCAACCAGAAAGUCACGGCUAACUACGUGCCAGCAGCCGCGGUAAUACGUAGGUGGCAAGCGUUGUCCGGAUUUAUUGGGCGUAAAGCGAGCGCAGGCGGAAAAAUAAGUCUAAUGUGAAAGCCCUCGGCUUAACCGAGGAACUGCAUCGGAAACUGUUUUUCUUGAGUGCAGAAGAGGAGAGUGGAACUCCAUGUGUAGCGGUGGAAUGCGUAGAUAUAUGGAAGAACACCAGUGGCGAAGGCGGCCUCUCUGGUCUGCAACUGACGCUGAGGCUCGAAAGCAUGGGUAGCGAACAGGAUUAGAUACCCUGGUAGUCCAUGCCGUAAACGAUGAGUGCUAAGUGU
rnacentral:rRNA from 1 species